rnacentral:lncRNA from 1 species
UUUUGGACGGCCCAGAUUGCGACUGCUUCAUUCCUCCUUGAAGACUUUUCCUUGUACAUCAGCACAGGACAACGCAUUUCCACCUUCAGGGUUGAGCACCUCUGGAUCAGAACACCGCCCCUCUCUCUCCCCCCCCCCCCCCCUCCCCCACCCCCACCCCUCUCUCUCUCUCUCUCUCCUUCCUCUGGUCAGGUAUUCAUCUUAUUUGCAAUAUGUACACUUCUGUAUACAUGUAUACUUAUAGAGUUUUCGAAGCUUCAAGUUUUUUAUCUUCCUUUAUGUGAACUUGGCUCCUUUUGGAU